rnacentral:rRNA from 2 species
AGAGUUUGAUCAUGGCUCAGAACGUACGCUGGCGGCACGCCUAACACAUGCAAGUCGAACGAAGUAGCAAUACUUAGUGGCAGACGGAUGAGUAACAUGUAGGUAUCUGCCCUUUGGCCUGGAAUAACACGAGGAAACUUGUGCUAAUACCGGAUAAGUCUUUACGGAGAAAGCUUUAUGCACCAUUGGAUGAGCCUGCACUUGAUUAGUUUGUUGGUGGGGUAAUGGCCUACCAAGACUGUGAUCAAUAGCUGAUUUGAGAGGAUGAUCAGCCACAUUGGGACUGAGACACGGCCCAAACUCCUACGGGAGGCAGCAGUGGGGAAUCUUGCACAAUGGAGGAAACUCUGAUGCAGCGAUGCCGCGUGAGUGAAGAAGGCCUUUGGGUUGUAAAGCUCUUUCGUCGGGGAAGAAAAUGACUGUACCCGAAUAAGAAGGUCCGGCUAACUUCGUGCCAGCAGCCGCGGUAAUACGAAGGGACCUAGCGUAGUUCGGAAUUACUGGGCUUAAAGAGUUCGUAGGUGGUUGAAAAAGUUGGUGGUGAAAUCCCAGAGCUUAACUCUGGAACUGCCAUCAAAACUUUUCAGCUAGAGUAUGAUAGAGGAAAGCAGAAUUUCUAGUGUAGAGGUGAAAUUCGUAGAUAUUAGAAAGAAUACCAAUUGCGAAGGCAGCUUUCUGGAUCAUUACUGACACUGAGGAACGAAAGCAUGGGUAGCGAAGAGGAUUAGAUACCCUCGUAGUCCAUGCCGUAAACGAUGUGUGUUAGACGUUGGAAAUUUAUUUUCAGUGUCGCAGCGAAAGCGAUAAACACACCGCCUGGGGAGUACGACCGCAAGGUUAAAACUCAAAUGAAUUGACGGGGACCCGCACAAGUAGUGGAGCAUGUGGUUUAAUUCGAAGAUACGCGCAGAACCUUACCAACACUUGACAUGUUCGUCGCGACUCUAAGAGAUUAGAGUUUUCGGUUCGGCCGGACGAAACACAGGUGCUGCAUGGCUGUCGUCAGCUCGUGUCGUGAGAUGUUGGGUUAAGUCCCGCAACGAGCGCAACCCUCACUUUUAGUUGCCAUCAUUAAGUUGGGCACUCUGAAAGAACUGCCAGUGAUAAGCUGGAGGAAGGUGGGGAUGACGUCAAGUCCUCAUGGCCCUUACGUGUUGGGCUACACACGUGCUACAAUGGUAUCUACAACAGGAAGCGAAACGGCGACGUUAAGCAAAUCCUUAAAAGAUACCUCAGUUCGGAUUGCACUCUGCAACUCGAGUGCAUGAAGCUGGAAUUACUAGUAAUCGUGGAUCAGCGUGCCACGGUGAAUGCGUUCCCGGGUCUUGUACACACCGCCCGUCACACCAUGGGAGUUGGUUCUACCUUAAGGCAAGGUUUAAAACCCUUGACCACGGUAUAGUCAGCGACUGGGGUGAAGUCGUAACAAGGUA